AACGAACGCUGGCGGCAUGCCUAACACAUGCAAGUCGAACGAGACCUUCGGGUCUAGUGGCGCACGGGUGCGUAACGCGUGGGAACCUGCCCUUAGGUUCGGAAUACCUCCCCGAAAGGGGUGCUAAUACCGGAUAAUGUCUUCGGACCAAAGAUUUAUCGCCUUUGGAUGGGCCCGCGUUGGAUUAGCUAGUUGGUAGGGUAAAAGCCUACCAAGGCGACGAUCCAUAGCUGGUCUGAGAGGAUGAUCAGCCACACUGGGACUGAGACACGGCCCAGAAUCCUACGGGAGGCAGCAGUGGGGAAUAUUGGACAAUGGGCGAAAGCCUGAUCCAGCAAUGCCGCGGGAGUGAUGAAGGACUUAGGGUUGUAAAGCUCUUUUACCCGGGAUGAUAAUGACAGUACCGGGAGAAUAAGCGCCGGCUAACUCCGUG
rnacentral:rRNA from 1 species